UAACAAUAAUGAUGAUGAUGAUUAUGAACGAUUAGAAGCAAUUAAUAAUUACUCUGGAGUUUUAGAAAGUACAGAUUUAUUAAAUAGAAUUUUGUUACGACCUGGUAAUGAUUUCGUUGAAGAAUACAAACAUUUAAGUGGACUUGAUGCUACAGGUAGACGAAAAUUGGUCAAUAUCGUCGUUGAUUGUUUAACUGAAGAAUUUGGCUACCGUCCUUCUUCUUCAGAAAAAAAAACAUUAUGCUGAACAAAUAAUAAAAACUUUUCCAAAGUUAAAAGAUUUAACAUCGACCUAUGGUUAUGAAGUAUAUUAUGAUAGUAAGACACGGUCUGGUUGUAUAGAGUGGAGGUUGAAAACUUUAAAUCAAUCACAGAAGAAAGGUAAAGAAUCAGGGAAAAUUAACAAAGAUAAGCAGGUUCAAGAACAAGAAAAUAUUGUACUUCUGGAUCAAGAAAAUCAGUCUAUCAUAUUAGAAGAUGUCAACAUUGAAGAUGUGACUGAAAUGAUCACAUUUUUAAAAAAUGCUCACCCUGUAAAGGAUCGGAAAAAUAUUGAAAAUGCAAUGAAGAAUACGCUUCUCUUUCGUAGAGAAAAUACUAAAAACCUUUUAGAUGAAUUUCCUCGAUUCAUUGAUACU